CAGCAGCCGCGGGAAUACGAGGGGGGCAAGCGUUGUUCGGAAUUAUUGGGCGUAAAGGGUGCGUAGGCGGUUUGAUAAGUCAUCUGUGAAAUCUCUGGGCUCAACCCAGAGUCUGCAGGCGAAACUGUCGGGCUUGAGUAUGGGAGAGGUGAGUGGAAUUUCCGGUGUAGCGGUGAAAUGCGUAGAUAUCGGAAGGAACACCUGUGGCGAAAGCGGCUCACUGGACCAUAACUGACGCUGAUGCACGAAAGCUAGGGGGGCAAAUAGGAUUAGAUACCCCAGUAGUCCCUGUCUCUUAUAC
rnacentral:rRNA from 1 species